GAUGAACGCUGGCGGCGUGCCUAAUACAUGCAAGUCGAACGCUGGAAAUCUAGCUUGCUAGAUUGAAGGAGUGGCGAACGGGUGAGUAAUACAUAAGCAACCUACCCACGAAGACUGGGAUAAUCUCUGGAAACGGGGACUAAUACCGGAUAGGUAAUCGGAAGGCAUCUUCUGAUUAUUAAAGGUUAAAAACACUGGUGGAUGGGCUUAUGGCGCAUUAGUUAGUUGGUGAGGUAACGGCCCACCAAGACGAUGAUGCGUAGCCGGCCUGAGAGGGUGAACGGCCACAUUGGGACUGAGACACGGCCCAGAAUCCUACGGGAGGCAGCAGUAGGGAAUUUUCGGCAAUGGGGGGAAACCCUGACCGAGCAACGCCGCGUGAGUGAUGACGGCCUUCGGGUUGUAAAGCUCUGUUGUAAGGGAAGAACGGUAGAUAGAGAAUAUCUAAAUGACGGUACCUUACCAGAAAGCCACGGCUAACUACGUG
rnacentral:rRNA from 1 species